UCUGCCCCAGUUAUUCUACUGUUGAUUCCCUCCAGUGUUUUGAUCUUAUUUAUUGCAUUAUUCAUUAUUGAUUGACUCUUUUUAUUUCUUCUAGGUCCUUGUUGACUAUUUCAUGCAUCUUCUCAGUCCUUGUCUCCAGGCUAUUUAUCUGUAACUCCAUUUUGUUUUCAAGAUUUUGGAUCAUUUUUACUAUUAUUAUUCUGAAUUGUUUUUUAGGUAGACUUCCCAUUUCCUCCUCUUUUGUUAGGUUUGGUGGUCAUUUAUCAUGUUCCUUUACCUGCUGAGUAUUUCUCUGCCUUUUCAUCUUGUUUAGAUUGCUGUGUUUGGGGUGGCCUUUCUGUAUGCUGGCAGUUUGUGGUUCCUCUUUAUUGUGGAGGUUCCUCACUGUGGGUGGGGUUGGAUGGGUGGCUUGUCAGCAUUUCCUAGUUAGGGAAGCUUUCAUCAGUGUUCUGGUGGGUGGAGCUAGAUUUCUUCUGUCUGGAAUGCAAUGAAGUAUCCAGUAGUGAGUUUUGAGAUGUCUUUGGAUUUGGUGUGACUUUGGGCAGCCUGUAUAUUGAAGCUCAGGGCUAUGUUCCUGCGUUGCUGGAGAAUUAGCUUGGUAUGUCUUACUCUGAAACUUGUUGGCUCUUGGGUGGAGCUUGGUUUCAGUGUAGGUAUGGAGGCUUUUGGAUGAGCUCUUGUUGAUUAAUGUUCCCUGGAGUCAGGAGUUUUCUGGUGUUCUUCAGUUUUGGACUUAAGCCUCCUGCCUCUGGUUUUCAGUCUUAUACUUAGAGUAGCCUCUAGGCUUCUCUGUCUAUACAGCACCAAUGAUAAAACAUCUAGGUUAAUGAUGAAAAGCUUCUCCACAGUGAGGGAUACCUGGAAAGGUUCACAGAGUCACAUGGAGAAAAGAAGAGGGAGGAGAGAGACAGAGGUGACCAGGAGUAGAAGAGGGGGAGUCAAAAGGGGAUAGAGCAAGCCAGCCAGUAAUAAAUUGCCUAUCUGCUCUCCACAGUGUGGAACACUCAGAGACGUGAAUGGAGUUACACAGAGAAGGGAAGAGGGAGGAAGGAGACGGAGGUGACCAGGAGGAGAAUAGGGGAAAUCAAAAGGAGAGAGACAGAUCCUGCCAGUAAUCAGAUGCCUAGUGUUCUCCACAGCGCAGAACACACAAAGAGAUUCACAGAGUUGGGUAAAGAAGAGACGGGGGAGGGAGAAGAUAGAGGCAACCUGGUGGAGAAAAAGGAGAGUCCAAAGUGGGUGAGAGCAGUCAAGUCAGUAAUCACACUCCCAAGUAAAUAUGGGUACUGAAGAUUGGGUUCUUAAUGUACAAAACUGAUAUCAAAUACAAAAAGCAAAGAUUAAAAAUUGAGAGUAGACGUUAGACUCUCAAAAAUACAAUAUUAAAAAAGCAAAACUAAGUCACAAAAAUUAUAAAAGAUACAUGUGAAGUUUGCUUUAAAAAUAGGGUCUUUUUUUUUCUUUCAAGGUAAUCAGUUCAGUUCAGACACUGAAUCGUGUCCAACUCUUUGCGACCCCAUGAAUCACAGUACACCAGGCCUCCCUGUCCAUCACCAACUCCCAGAGUUCACUCAGACUCACGUCCAUCGAGUCAGUGAUGCCAUCCAGCCAUCUCAUCCUCUGUUGUCCCCUUCUCCUCCUGCCCCCAAUCCCUCCCAGCAUCACAGUCUUUUCCAAUGAGUCAACUCUUCGCAUGAGGUGGCCAAAGUACUGGAGUUUCAGCUUCAGCAUCAUUCCCCCCAAAGAAAUCCUAGGGCUGAUCCCCUUCAGAAUGGACUGGUUGGAUCUCCUUGCAGUCCAGGGACUCGCAAGAGUCUUCUCGAACACCACAGUUCAAAAGCAUCAAUUCUUCGGCACUCAGCUUUCUUCACAGUCCAACUCUCAAAUCCAUACAUGACCACUGGAAAAACCAUAGCCUUGACUAGACGGACCUUAGUCGACAAAGUAAUGUCUCUGCUUUUGAAUAUGCUGUCUAGGUUGGUCAUAACUUUUAUUCCAAGGAGUAAGCCUCUUUUAAUUUCAUGGCUGCAGUCACCAUCUGCAGUGAUUUGGGAGCCCCCAAAAAUAAAGUCUGACACUGUUUCCACUGUUUCCCCAUCUAUUUCCCAUGAAGUGAUGGGACCAGAUGCCAUGAUCUUCGUUUUCUGAAUGUCGAGCUUUAAGCCAACUUUUUCACUCUCCUCUUUCACUUUCAUCAAGAGGCUUUUUAGCUCCUCUUCACUUUCUGCCAUAAGGGUGGUGUCAUCUGCAUAUCUGAGGUUAUUGAUAUUUCUCCUGGAAAUCUUGAUUCCAGCUUGUGUUUCUUCCAGCCCAGCGUUUCUCAUGAUGUACCCUUCAUAGAAGUUAAAUAAACAGGGUGACAAUAUACAGCCUUGAUGUACUCCAUUUCCUAUUUGAUACCAGUCUGUUGUUCCAUGUCCAGUUCUAACUGUUGCUUCCUGACCUGCAUAUAGGUUUCUCAAGAGGUAAGUCAGGUGGUCUGGUAUUCCCAUUUCUUUCAGAAUUUUCCACAGUUUAUUGUGAUCCACAGUCAAAGGCUUUGGCAUAGUCAAUAAAGCAGAAAUAAAUGUUUUUCUGGAACUCUCUUGGUUUUUGGACGAUCCAGCGGAUGUUGGCAAUCUGAUCUCUGGUUCCUCUGCCUUUUCUAAACACAGCUUGAACAUCUAGAAGUUCAUGGUUCAUGUAUUGCUGAAGCCUGGCUUGGAGAAUUUUGAGCAUUACUUUACGAGCGUGUCAGAUGAGUGCAAUUGUGCAGUAGUUUGAGUAUUCUUUGGCAUUGCCUUUCUUUGGG
ensembl:lncRNA